rnacentral:misc_RNA from 1 species
GAUGAAGAACGCAGCGAAAUGCGAUAAGUAAUGUGAAUUGCAGAAUUCAGUGAAUCAUCGAAUCUUUGAACGCACAUUGCGCUCUUUGGUAUUCCGAAGAGCACGCCUGUUUGAGUAUCGAAAAAACCAUCACGACCUUGUUCUUGUGAGUUCGCUCCUCAGGACAUGAUAACGUGGAGUUGGGCUGUAUCUGCUUUCGCGAGCAGGUGGCCUCAAAGGAGAGCGUUGGAAGCUGGAUCUCCUCUACUGGGAUCGCUGCCCGAAAUGUACUGAAUUGGAGUAACCUUCAUUUUUCUUUCUUGCAGUUGAGCCUAGUGGAGAACCGGUCGACCGAUCAACCCACUACCACACGAGGGGUCGAGAGCGGACCGCUCACGAUUCCUCGAAUACUUGGUCUCAAAUCAGGCGGGAAAACCCGCUGAACUUAAGCAUAUCAAUAAGCGGAGGA